rnacentral:rRNA from 1 species
GUAGGUGGCAAGCGUUGUCCGGAAUUAUUGGGCGUAAAGCGCGCGCAGGCGGUUCUUUAAGUCUGAUGUGAAAGCCCACGGGCUCAACCGUGGAGGGUCAUUGGAAACUGGAGAACUUGAGUACAGAAGAGGAAAGCGGAAUUCCACGUGUAGCGGUGAAAUGCGUAGAGAUGUGGAGGAACACCAGUGGCGAAGGCGGCUUUCUGGUCUGCAACUGACGCUGAGGCGCGAAAGCGUGGGGAGCAAACAGGAUUAGAUACCCUGGUAGUCCACGCCGUAAACGAUGAGUGCUAAGUGUUAGGGGGUUUCCGCCCCUUAGUGCUGCAGCUAACGCAUUAAGCACUCCGCCUGGGGAGUACGACCGCAAGGUUG